rnacentral:rRNA from 1 species
UUACCGGCUUAAAUGGACGGAAACCCCUUCGGGCCAAGGUGCUGCAUGGUUGUCGUCAGCUCGUGCCGUGAGGUGUCGGGUUAAGUCCCAUAACGAGCGCAACCCUAUCUUAGUUGCCAGCGAACGGGACUCUAGGAAACUGCCGGUGUAACCGGAGGAAGGUGGGGAUGACGUCAAAUCAGCACGGCCCUUACGCCGGGCUACACACGUGUUACAAUGGAGUACAAGGGGCAAGGUGACUGAUGCAAUCUCUAACUGUCUCAGUUCGGAUUGGAGUCUGCAACUCGACUCUAUGAAGCUGGAAUCGCUAGUAAUCGGAAUCAGCACGUCCGGUGAAUACGUUCCCGGGCCUUGUACACACCGCCCGUCAAGCCAUGGAAGCUGGGUCCAAA